rnacentral:rRNA from 1 species
UUCCGGUUGAUCCUGCCGGAGGUCACUGCUAUUGGGAUUCGGCUAAGCCAUGCAAGCGGAGGGCGCGGUCGAAAGAUCGUGGCCCCGCACACUGCUCAGUAACACGUAGUCAAUCUACCCUUGGGACGGGGACAACCUCGGGAAACUGAGGCUAAUCCCCGAUAGGUGAGGGACGCUGGAAUGCCUCCUCGCCCAAAGCUCCGGCGCCCAAGGAUGGGACUGCGGUCUAUCAGGCUGUUGGUGGUGUAACGGACCACCAAACCUACGACGGGUACGGGCGAUGGGAGUCGGAGCCCGGAGAUGGGGACUGAGACAAGGCCCCAGGCCCUACGGGGCGCAGCAGGCGCGAAAACUCCGCAAUGCGCGCAAGCGUGACGGGGGAAUCCCAAGUGCCGUUGGUCUUAUGAUCGACGGUUUUUAGGAAGUCUAAGAAGCUUCCAGAAUAAGGGCUGGGCAAGACUGGUGCCAGCCGCUGCGGUAACACCAGCAGCCCAAGUGGUGACCACGAUUAUUGGGCCUAAAGCGCUCGUAGCCGGAUCAGCAAGUCCCUUGUGAAAUCGGGCCGCCUAACGGUUCGGCGUGCAAGGGAUACUGUUGGUCUUGAGGCCGGGAGAGGUCGGAGGUACUCCUGGGGUAGCGGUGAAAUGCUCUAAUCCUAGGGGGACCACCAGUGGCGAAGGCGUCCGACCAGAACGGACCUGACGGUGAGGGGCGAAGGCUAGGGGAGCGAACGGGAUUAGAUACCCCGGUAGUCCUAGCUGUAAAGCAUGCGGGCCAGGUGUCUAGCGCUCCUUGAGGGCGCUAGGUGCCGGAGGGAAGCCGUUAAGCCCGCCGCCUGGGAAGUACGGCCGCAAGGCUGAAACUUAAAGAAAUUGGCGGGGGAGCACCACAAGAGGUGGGACCUGCGGUUCAAUUGGACUCAACGCCGGA